rnacentral:rRNA from 1 species
UAAAGGCAUGGUCCUGACCUUAUUAUUAGCUUUAACCCAACUUACACAUGCAAGUCUCCGCAACCCCGUGAGUAUGCCCUUAAUCCCCCACCCGGGGACGAGGAGCGGGCAUCAGGCACAAAUUUUUAGCCCAAGACGCCUGGCCGAGCCACACCCCCAAGGGAAUUCAGCAGUGAUAAAUAUUAAGCCAUAAGGAAAACUGACUCA